rnacentral:rRNA from 1 species
AGCGAACGCUGGCGGCAGGCUUAACACAUGCAAGUCGAGCGGGCACUUUCGGGUGUCAGCGGCGGACGGGUGAGUAACGCGUGGGAACGUGCCCUCUGGUUCGGAAUAACUCAGGGAAACUUGAGCUAAUACCGGAUACGCCCUUUUGGGGAAAGGCUUGCUGCCGGAGGAUCGGCCCGCGUCUGAUUAGCUAGUUGGUGAGGUAACGGCUCACCAAGGCGACGAUCGGUAGCUGGUCUGAGAGGAUGAUCAGCCACACUGGGACUGAGACACGGCCCAGACUCCUACGGGAGGCAGCAGUGGGGAAUAUUGGACAAUGGGCGCAAGCCUGAUCCAGCCAUGCCGCGUGAGUGAUGAAGGCCUUAGGGUUGUAAAGCUCUUUUAUCCGGGACGAUAAUGACGGUACCGGAGGAAUAAGCCCCGGCUAACUUCGUG